UGUCUCCCUAUAGUUCCCUUGACGCCGCUGCCCCUCUCCCGGGCUACGCUGAAUACCCUCCGACGAAGCGAUAACCCUAAACCACCAAAUCCGGUGCUACUCGACGUUCGAUCCCCUGGCGAUGAAGCCGCGCAGCCGCAAGAGGGAUGACCGGCCCAAGGCCGGUAAGAAGAAGCCCAGAUCCUUCGGCGGCGACAACGGCUUCUUUGAAUCCGAUGCCAAACGGAGGGGACGAAUGCGCGGCGGCGACGAUGACGUCGAGAGCAUAGAUAGCGACGAAGACUUGGCGGGCCUUGGUGCUGGAGAGGAGGAAGUGGGGGAGGGUGCCCCCGAGGAGACUGCGGACGAGAAGCGGGUUAGGGUCGCGAAGGAGCACCUGGAGAGGAUUCGAGCUAUAGCGAAGCGGGUGGAGGAGGAAGAAGGGGAAGAGGAAGACGAGGAGGAGGGACGAGAGGAGAGGGAGGGGAAAAGGGAUUCUUUGGUGGCGGAGAUUCUCCAAAAGGAGCAGCUUGAGGAAAGUGGUCGCAUCCGCAGGCUUGUCGCGUCAAGGGUUUUAAGUCCGCAACCUGUUGAUGAGUUCCGAUGGCUUGUGAAGCACCGGCAGCCUGUUACAUCUGUAGCUUUGGCUGACGAUGACUCAAGAGGGUUUUCAGCUUCCAAAGAUGGAGUCAUUAUGCACUGGGAUGUUGAGAGUGGCAAAUCCGAGAAGUACUUGUGGCCUCGCGAGGAUGUUUUGGUGUCACAUUAUGCAAAGCCCCUGCAGAAUUCAGCUAGGAAGAGAAGUAAGAAUGUUUUAGCUUUGACUGUCAGCUCUGAUGGGCGAUAUUUGGCUAGUGGUGGAAUGGAUCGACAUGUCCAUUUAUGGGAUACUCGAACUCGGGAGCAUCUCCAGGCAUUUCAUGGUCAUCGAGGUCCAGUCUCAUGCCUUACUUUUAGACAGGGAACUUCACAGCUUUUCUCCGGUUCCUUUGAUAGAACCAUUAAACUGUGGAAUGCUGAAGACAGAACCCACAUGGACAAUUUAUUUGGUCAUCAAAGUGAAAUUUUGACAAUUGACUGUCUACGCAGAGAACGCCUUUUGACUGCAGGACGUGACCGGACCAUGCGAUUGUGGAAGGUACCUGAGGAAUCACAAUUGGUCUUUCGGGCUCCUGCAUCAUCUUUGGAAUGCUGCUGCUUUAUUAAUGACAGUGAGUUCUUAUCUGGCUCAGAUGAUGGAAGCAUUGAGCUCUGGAGUGUAAUGCGCAAAAAGCCUACACACUUAAUAAAAAAUGCACAUGCUCCAUCUUUAUUUUCUAAUGGUUUUUCAUAUAAAGAGGAUGAUAUCACUAUGUCCAAUGGUGGCAGUACAGAAAAUGGUUCUCAUGGAGAUGAAAACUGUUCUUCGGCCCAUGCAUGGGUUAGUUCAGUUGCUGUGUGUAGAGGUAGUGAUCUUGCUGCAUCAGGAGCUGCUAAUGGUGUGGUUCGUGUAUGGGCUAUCGACAGUGAUAGCAAAGGGAUCAGUCCAUUACUAAGUUAUCCACUGGCUGGAUUCAUCAAUUCACUUGCAUUUGCAAAAUCUGCACGCUUCCUUGUUGCUGGCGUUGGUCAGGUACCAUCUGUUUCUUUUCCUUUCUUACUCAUCUCAUUUAUUAGAUUGAUUUAGUUCAAAAGCUUGUCUGACCAUGGUAAUUGACCAGAAAAUCUUCAUCUUUCAUUGUUCAUUGACUAAAAUUUUACAUCAAACAGUAAUUCCUUUUCGACCUAGAUCUCUUUUUUUUACUCUGAAAAUAUAACUAAGUCCACCUUAAAAUCAUUAUACCUUUUUGAUUUAUUGAUAGUAUUAGAACACAUUAGCUAAUCUAGCAUCUUAUAUUUCUUAAAUUUGUAAUCUCCAGUUUUACCAUGAGAUCAGAAACUAACCAUAAUGGACUGCCGUAGAGAAGAUUGUCAUCCUUAACAAAGUUGCUUAGAAGCGAGAGUUUAUGUUUAUAGCAAAAUGAUACUUAGUCAAGUUAAAUUGAUGUCCAACAAGUUUUAAAUGCUAAUCAACUGAAAGAAACAUGAGCAGUUUUACCUACCUCUAAGAUGCAGAGAUGUGCCGUAGUCCUCUAUGUGCUCAUUUGUGGUUGGAAGACCUACUGAACCUAUCAAACCAUGCCUGCAUGAUGCCUCAUGUCACCUUCUUUGUCGAACAACUUGAACUGCAACUACCAAUGUCCAUAAACUGCCACAGAAAAAGUUCUUCUAGGAAGAAAUUCUAGGAACCUCGCUUGGGAAGAUGGGCGCGUGUUCCAUUAGCACGAAAUGGAGUUGCAAUACACCCAAUUAAAUUAAAGGACGAUCACACAAUGGUCUCUUAAAUGCUGGCCUUUACCAAUGGCUCAUGCAAGCAUAAAAGGAUUCUUCAGUUUUUGCUAGUAAGCGGUGCAAGUUACAGUGUUUUUCUGAGAGUUGAUAAAUUUUCCUCUGCUCACAUAUAUUUCUUAUGUAACAAUUGAUUACACAACUUGCCCUUUUGAUUUAUUUCACCCUCAGUGUCUCGAGCAUUAGCAAAUACAGAUGGCGUAAAGCCAACGAGUCCAUGUAUUCCUUCCUGUAGCAGCUCAUUUUGUAUGACAAUUCUUUUUUCCAUGGAAAAAUUUGUGCAGUUUUCAGCUGGUGGCUGGCA